rnacentral:rRNA from 1 species
UACGUAGGGUCCGAGCGUUGUCCGGAAUUACUGGGCGUAAAGAGCUCGUAGGUGGUUUGUCGCGUUGUUCGUGAAAACUCACAGCUUAACUGUGGGCGUGCGGGCGAUACGGGCAGACUGGAGUACUGCAGGGGAGACUGGAAUUCCUGGUGUAGCGGUGGAAUGCGCAGAUAUCAGGAGGAACACCGGUGGCGAAGGCGGGUCUCUGGGCAGUGAACUGACGCUGGAGGAGCGAAAGCGUGGGGAGCGAACAGG